UUCUCAAGAGGGAGGCAAUCAUGUGUAAUUAGAUAUGAUUGACACCUCUGUGAGUAGA
rnacentral:pre_miRNA from 1 species